rnacentral:rRNA from 1 species
UACGUAGGGGGGCAAGCGUUGUCCGGAAUCAUUGGGCGUAAAGAGCGCGUAGGCGGCCCUGUAAGUCCGCUGUGAAAGUCAAGGGCUCAACCCUUGAAUGCCGGUGGAUACUGCAGGGCUAGAGUCCGGAAGAGGCGAGUGGAAUUCCUGGUGUAGCGGUGAAAUGCGCAGAUAUCAGGAGGAACACCGGUGGCGAAGGCGGCGACCUGGGUAGAUACUGACGCUGAGGUGCGAAAGCGUGGGGAGCAAACAGG